GAAAUCUUAUUUUUUCCUCUCUUUCUUUCAUCUGACGCUCUCUAUCUCUCUUUCACGUCUUUCUCCUUCUUCCUUCUCCGGCGAUUUCGCUGGUUCUCGCCGCCUCCGGCGCGACGAGGAUCGUGGUGGUUCUUCCCCUUUAUUGUUUUCUACUUAUCCACCGGUGCCACCGUCUGUAUCUCUCUCCCCACUCCUAAUUCUCAAUUCAGACCACACAUCCCCCAAAGGUUACUCUCUCUGUCGUUCGCCGCUAGGCACCGUCCCCAUCUUCUCCAAUCGCGCUACCCUACCUCAGAGCCUCCACUGUCGAGUCUUCUCCAUCGUCUCACCCCAUCCUCGGCCGCCGCCGCUAAUUUGAAAUCCCCUAACCCCAAAUUGCCGACCCCUCUCUUUUUCCCUAAUUGUUACCGGUCUCUUGCCUGCGCCGCUUGCGUCUGUCUCUCUGGAAACCGGUGGCAUUUCGAUAGCCAGAUGCGAUUCAAGCUUUCAUUUCCCGGUGGAAGCUUCGAGACAUGGUCAGAAAAUCUAGCUCUAGCAUCUUUUGGAGGUAUGAUUCCCUUUCAAAAUUCUUCGUCUCUCACCACCUCUCCCGCAGCGAUUCUAUUGCUAGCCUCGCUGUUAAGUAUCCUGUUCAGGUAUUCUAUGGAUGUUAAUCGAAUUGAUUUUUGCGAAUUGUGAUUAUGCUCAAACCCAGGCUAUAUGCGUUCGACAAUGUGUUCCUAUAACCUAUACUAGAUUAGUUUAGAAGAUUAUAAAUAAGAGCUUAUGAAUACAAAAAUUUAUAGCCUUUUCCGCGCAUGGCUGUGAGCUAUUGACUCAUGAAAUUUAUUUUGCUAACUGAAAUUUAUCGUCUGGUUUUGUUACAUGUUGAUAUGCAAUGUUGAUAUUUUGGAAUAAGAGAGAAAAAAGUGAAGGUCUCUAAUUUGUUACAUGUUGAUAUGCAAUGUUGUAUCAGGCUAUGAGGGUGAUUAUUAAUGAAAGAUAUGGUUCUGUUUUUGGUUUGCAGUGUCUAUUAUAAAAGGCUUAUCUAGUAUUUUUAUUUGCUUUAGGAAUCCGAAGAACUCACAUCAUCUACACAAUGGAGGUUUGUUCACACUUCUAUUUUUUCUGCUCGAAUUUAUNUUUCAUCUGACGCUCUCUAUCUCUCUUUCACGUCUUUCUCCUUCUUCCUUCUCCGGCGAUUUCGCUGGUUCUCGCCGCCUCCGGCGCGACGAGGAUCGUCGGUUGGUCCUUCCCCUUUUAUCGUUUUCUACUUAUCCACCGGUGCCACCGUCUGUAUCUCUCUCACCACUCCUAAUUCUCAAUUCAGACCACACAUCCCCAAAGGUUACUCUCUCUGUCGUUCGCCGCUAGCCACCGUCCCCAUCUUCUCCAAUCGCGCUACCCUACCUCAGAGCCUCCACUGUCGAGCCUUCUCCAUCGUCUCACCCAUCCUCGGCCGCCGCCGCUAAUUUGAAAUCCCUAACCCCCAAAUCGAGACCCCUCUCUUAUUCCCUAAUUGUUACCGGUCUCUUGCCCGCGCCGCUUGCGUCUGCCUCUCUGGAAACCGGUGGCAUUCGAUAGCCAGAUGCGAUUCAAGCUUUCAUUUCCCGGUGAAAGCUUCGAGACAUGGUCAGAAAACCUAGCUCUAACACCUUUGGAGGUAUGAUUCCCUUUCAAAAUUAUCGUCUCUUACCACCUCUCCCGCAACGAUUUUAUUGCUAGCCUCGCUGUUAAGUAUCCCGUUCAGGUAUUCUAUGGAUGCUAAUCGAAUUUAUUUUCGCUAAUUGUGAUUAUGCUCAAACCCAGGCUAUAUGCGUUCGACAAUGUGUUCCUAUAACCUAUACUAGAUAAGUUUAGAAGAUUAUAAAUAAGAGCUUAUGAAUACAAAAAUUUAUAGCCUUUUCCGCGCAUGGCUGUGAGCUAUUGACUCAUGAAAUUAUUUUGCUAACUGAAAUUAUCGUCUGGUUUGUUACAUGUUGAUAUGCAAUGUUGAUAUUUGGAAUAAGAGAGAAAAAGUGAAGGUCUCUAAUUUGUUACAUGUUGAUAUGCAAUGUUGUAUCAGGCUAUGAGGGUGAUUAUUAAUGAAAGAUAUGGUUCUGUUUUUGGUUUGCAGUCUCUAUUAUAAAAGGCUUAUCUAGUGUUUUUAUUUGCUUUAGGAAUCCGAAGAACUCACAUCAUCUACACAAUGGAGGUUUGUUCACACUUCUAUUUUUCUUGCUCAAAUUUAUUCAAGAAUUUUUGGUGUAACUUCUUAUACAACCACCAGUAAAGCAGUGACAAUGUUUGAAGAUCUGUGNUUUUUUUUCUAGCUAUUUAUACUUAGCUUCAUCUCUGUGCUGAUCUGAAGCAUAUGUUCUGUUAUAAAUUGGUCUCUCUUACUACAACUUAUAUAAUAGCAGGAAAUGUUAAAUCAGAGUUUGCUANAAAAAUUUAAUUUAUGAUUGCCUUGCAUCUUACAUAGACAAUUACUAUUUACUUUGAUGUAGCAGGGAUUGGAGAUAUCAUUGUUGAAAUCACUUGUCAACAGCAUCACUUGUUUUUUACAAUUAUCCUCUUGUGGAAGCAUAAGAACUGAACCAGUUCACACAUAUCACCAAAAGACAAUAGUUGAUGCGAUUGCCGAUACUUAAUUUGUCUCCAUGGAAUGCUUCAAAGAGCAUUUGUUGGAAUCCUACAUUGUGUCGAUGAAUUGGAAAGUAUAUGUGAAAACUGGCAACCAUUAAUGAGUGAAAUUUAGUUUGUACGUGAUAAGGUUUUGUUAUCAUCAGUUGAACAUGUAAUAAGUUUGUUCCAAAGAAGUUAACUUUGUACUUGCUGAUUUUGCUUUGACAAAUAGGUUUUAUAAGUUGAGUAGUCACUUAUGUGAAAGAUUAGAAAUCAUGAUUUGGAGUCACUUAUGCUCAAGUCUUCUGUUGAACUCAGUUGUGCAGCAAUAUAUACAGCAAAUCAAGCAUCUGGAAUCUGAACAAACUUCAUCAAUAUCUAAAGCAAAUUAGGUCUUGAAGGAGCAGAGGAGCUGGCGCCAAGUUAGGGACUUCUUUGGUUGGAUGAAAUUACAGGUUCUCUCUCUCUCUUUGCUAAUUUGAUUAUUUCAAAUGUAGUUUUUGGAGGCGUUGUCGAUAGUGAUUCAGUUUUUGCUUAUCUAUUAGCUGGUUUGGACUUUAGAAGAGGUUUAUUUAGGUGACCUUUCUUAUGCUUGUGAAAUUGAGGCUAUGUAAAGAAAAUUUAAUCAUGAUUGAGUUGAAUUGAGCAUGUGGUUCUUUUAAGCAUUACAUUUGUUAAUGAGCUGCUAGCUAGAACUACGAGUGGAAACAUAGUAACC
rnacentral:lncRNA from 1 species